rnacentral:rRNA from 1 species
CCUACGGGAGGCAGCAGUGAGGAAUAUUGGUCAAUGGACGUAAGCCUGAACCAGCCAAGCCGCGUGCAGGAUGACGGCUCUAUGAGUUGUAAACCGCUUUUAUACGAGGAUAAAGUCCGAUACGCGUACCGCGUUGCAAGUAUCUUACGAAUAAGGAUCGGCUAACUCCGUGCCAGCAGCCGCGUUAAUCCGGAGGAUCCGAGCGUUAUCCGGAUUUAUUGGGUUUAACGGGUGCGUAGGCGGUUUGCUAAGUUAGAGGUGAAAGGGCGGGGCUCAACCACGAAACUGCCUCUAAUACUGGUGGACUAGAGAAUAGUUGCGGUAGGCGGAAUGCAUGGUGUAGCGGUGAAAUGCUUAGAUAUCAUACAGAACACCGAUGGCGAAGGCAGCUUACCAAACUAUAACUGACGCUGAGGCACGAAAGCGUGGGGAGCAAACAGGAUUAGAUACCCUAGUAGUC